UGCCAGCAGCCGCGGUAAGACGGAGGAUGCAAGUGUUAUCCGGAAUCACUGGGCGUAAAGCGUCUGUAGGUGGUUUAAAAAGUCCACUGUUAAAGAUUGAAGCUUAACUUCAAAAAUGCCGUGGAAACUUUUAAACUUGAGUAUGAUAGGGGUAGAGGGAAUUUCCAGUGGAGCGGUGAAAUGCGUAGAUAUUGGAAAGACCACCGAUGGCGAAGGCACUCUACUGGGCCAUUACUGACACUGAGAGACGAAAGCUAGGGGAGCAAAUGGGAUUAGAUACCCCAGUAGUCCUAGCUGUAAACGAUGGAUACUAGAUGUUGUGUGUAUUGACCCAUGCAGUAUCGUAGCUAACGCGUUAAGUAUCCCGCCUGGGAAGUAUGCUCGCAAGAGUGAAACUUAAAGGAAUUGGCGGGGGAC
rnacentral:rRNA from 1 species